rnacentral:rRNA from 1 species
AUGGAGGACUGCAAUCCAAGUCAUGUUCCAAUGGAGCCUCGACUUAAACUUAGCAAGAGGAGCCAAGCACCCGCGGUUGAUGCAACGGAGUAUAGAAGUGUGGUCGGAAGCCUAAGGUAUCUUGUGAAUACACGACCGGACUUGGCCUAUUCCGUUGGCGUAGUGAGUCGCUUCAUGGAAGCACCCACGACAGAACAUUGGGCAGCUGUGAAACAAAUACUCAGGUACAUCAAAGGGACAACUAACUUCGGUUGUGUCUAUUUGAGAGAGAAGCGGAAGGAGAUGGUGGAGCUACUUGGCUACAGUGAUAGCGACUUGGCAGGAGAUAUUGACGACCGUAAAAGUACCUCGGGCGUGGCAUAUUUCUUGGGAAGAAACAUAGUGAGUUGGCUAUCACAAAAGCAGAAGGUGGUCGCAUUAUCAUCCUGUGAAGCGGAGUAUAUUGCAGCUGCAACCGCGGCAGGUCAAGGUGUGUGGCUAGAAAGGCUACUCGGUGACCUCACUGAGAAGGAACCGGAAGGAGUGGUGCUCUAUGUUGACAACAAAUCCACGAUUGCUCUAUGUAAGAAUCCAGUGCAUCAUGAUAGAAGUAAGCACAUUGAUAUAAGGUAUCACUACAUACGAGAUUGCGUGGAAGAAGGCAAGAUUGAAGUCAACUACAUUUGCACCGAUGAUCAGCUUGCAGAUAUCCUGACCAAGUCUUUGGGACGACAGAAGUUCACGGAGAUGCGGGGAAGGAUCGGCGUCCAAGCUGUGAAGUGA